GCAGAUGGAAAAUAAAGUGUGUACCUCCCAGGAAGGACGAUAGGCCUUCUCCAAAUGAAGGACAAAAUCCCCUCAUCCAAACCUUGGAGCUGAGGUCAACAGGAGGAAAAUAACUUUCCCCAACAGGAGAUCUUUCCAACAGGAGUGGGACAAACCCUCCCAACCAAAUCACGAAUAAAAUGGAACUCGAACAAAAUGGAGGGGGAGAAGAGGCCACUUGCAGAUGCAGCAGGGUUCAAAAGGCUCCAUUGUGGGCACCUCACACCGCUGUUCCAAGAACCAGUAAUUCUUCCUGAGGGGGCUUGCUAUGUUACCCAGUUAUUUACUGUUUCAUAUACAUUUUAUG
rnacentral:lncRNA from 1 species